UACGUAGGUGGCAAGCGUUGUCCGGAUUUAUUGGGUUUAAAGGGAGCGUAGGCGGGUUGUUAAGUCAGUUGUGAAAGUUUGCGGCUCAACCGUAAAAUUGCAGUUGAUACUGGCAUCCUUGAGUACAGUAGAGGUAGGCGGAAUUCGUGGUGUAGCGGUGAAAUGCUUAGAUAUCACGCAGAACUCCGAUUGCGAAGGCAGCAUACCGGCGCGCAACUGACGCUCAUGCACGAAAGCGUGGGUAUCGAACAGG
rnacentral:rRNA from 1 species